AAACUUUGCAAUGCGGGAAACCGUGACAAGGGAACUCCGAGUGCCCGUAAAUUCGGGCUGUUAAUCUGUGUAAAUAACAGGUUGAGAAAGGGCCGGGCAAGACCGGUGCCAGCCGCCGCGGUAAUACCGGCGGCUCGAGUGGUGGCCACUAUUACUGGGCUUAAAGCGUCCGUAGCUGGGUUGUUAAGUCUCUAGGGAAAUCCACCGGCUCAACCGAUGGGCGUCUUAGGGAUACUGGCAGCCUAGGGACCGGGAGAGGUGAGAGGUACUCCAGGGGUAGGAGUGAAAUCCUGUAAUCCUUGGGGGACCACCUGUGGCGAAGGCGUCUCACCAGAACGGCUCCGACAGUGAGGGACGAAAGCUGGGGGAGCAAACCGG
rnacentral:rRNA from 1 species